rnacentral:rRNA from 1 species
GGAUUAGAUACCCUGGUAGUCCACGCCGUAAACGAUGAUUACUCGCUGUUGGCGAUAUACUGUCAGUGGCUGAGCGAAAGCAUUAAGUAAUCCACCUGGGGAGUACGGUCGCAAGAUUGAAACUCAAAGGAAUUGACGGGGGCCCGCACAAGCGGUGGAGCAUGUGGUUUAAUUCGAUGAUACGCGAGGAACCUUACCAGGGCUUAAAUGUAUUUUGACAGAUCUGGAAACAGAUUUUUCUUCGGACAAUUUGCAAGGUGCUGCAUGGUUGUCGUCAGCUCGUGCUG